rnacentral:rRNA from 1 species
GACGAACGCUGGCGGCGUGCUUAACACAUGCAAGUCGAACGAUGAAGUAGAGAAACGCGAACUUCGGUUCAAAUUUCACUUCGGAUUAGUGGCAGACGGGUGAGUAACGCGUGAACAACCUACCUCUUACAAAGGGAUAGCCUCGGGAAACCGUGAUUAAUACCAUAUGACUCAUUCAUAAGGCAUCUGAAGAAUGUUAAAGCUACGGCGGUAAGAGAUGGGCUCGCGUCCCAUUAGCUAGUUGGUGAGGUAACGGCCCACCAAGGCGACGAUGGGUAACCGGCCUGAGAGGGUGAACGGUCACAUUGGAACUGAGACACGGUCCAAACUCCUACGGGAGGCAGCAGUGGGGAAUAUUGCACAAUGGAGGGAACUCUGAUGCAGCGACGCCGCGUGAGCGAUGAAGGAAUUCGUGUCGUAAAGCUCUGUUCUAUGGGAAGAAAAGGACUGUACCAUAGGAGAAAGCCCCGGCUAAAUACGUG